rnacentral:rRNA from 1 species
AUUGAACGCUGGCGGCAUGCCUUACACAUGCAAGUCGAACGGUAACAGGUUAAGCUGACGAGUGGCGAACGGGUGAGUAAUGUAUCGGAACGUGCCCAGUCGUGGGGGAUAGCUGCUCGAAAGAGCAGCUAAUACCGCAUACGACCUGAGGGUGAAAGCGGGGGAUCGCAAGACCUCGCGCGGUUGGAGCGGCCGAUAUCAGAUUAGGUAGUUGGUGAGGUAAAGGCUCACCAAGCCGACGAUCUGUAGCUGGUCUGAGAGGACGACCAGCCACACUGGGACUGAGACACGGCCCAGACUCCUACGGGAGGCAGCAGUGGGGAAUUUUGGACAAUGGGCGCAAGCCUGAUCCAGCCAUGCCGCGUGCGGGAAGAAGGCCUUCGGGUUGUAAACCGCUUUUGUCAGGGAAGAAAAGGUUCUGGCUAAUACCUGGGACUCAUGACGGUACCUGAAGAAUAAGCACCGGCUAACUACGUG